GCCUACGGGGGGCAGCAGUAGGGAAUUUUCGUCAAUGGGCGCAAGCCUGAACGAGCAAUGCCGCGUGAACGAGGAAGGUCUUCGGAUCGUAAAGUUCUGUUGAAGGGGAAAAAGAGCGGAGAGAGGAAAUGGUCUCCGAUUGAUAUUACCCUUCGAGGAAGUCACGGCUAACUACGUGCCAGCAGCCGCGGUAAUACGUAGGUGGCGAGCGUUAUCCGGAAUGAUUGGGCGUAAAGGGUGCGUAGGCGGCCUGCUAAGUCUGGUGUGAAAGGCACCGGCUCAACCGGUACAGGCCCUUGGAACUG
rnacentral:rRNA from 1 species